UACGUAGGGUGCAAGCGUUGUCCGGAAUUAUUGGGCGUAAAGAGCUCGUAGGCGGUCUGUCACGUCGGCUGUGAAAACCCGGGGCUCAACCCCGGGCCUGCAGUCGAUACGGGCAGACUAGAGUGUGGUAGGGGAGACUGGAAUUCCUGGUGUAGCGGUGAAAUGCGCAGAUAUCAGGAGGAACACCGGUGGCGAAGGCGGGUCUCUGGGCCAAUACUGACGCUGAGGAGCGAAAGCGUGGGGAGCGAACAGG
rnacentral:rRNA from 1 species